GACGAACGCUGGCGGCGUGCUUAACACAUGCAAGUCGAACGAUGAACCAGGGCUUGCCCUGGGGAUUAGUGGCGAACGGGUGAGUAACACGUGGGCAACCUGCCCCAGACACCGGGAUAACCAUUCGAAAGAGUGGCUAAUACCGGAUACGACCACUUUGGGCAUCCAACGGUGGUGGAAAGGAUUCUGGUCUGGGAUGGGCCCGCGGCCUAUCAGCUUGUUGGUGGGGUUAUGGCCUACCAAGGCGACGACGGGUAGCCGGCCUGAGAGGGCGACCGGCCACACUGGGACUGAGACACGGCCCAGACUCCUACGGGAGGCAGCAGUGGGGAAUAUUGCGCAAUGGGCGAAAGCCUGACGCAGCGACGCCGCGUGAGGGACGAAGGUCUUCGGAUUGUAAACCUCUUUCAGCAGGGACGAAGCGAAAGUGACUGUACCUGCAGAAGAAGCACCGGCUAACUACGUGCCAGCAGCCGCCGUAAAAC
rnacentral:rRNA from 1 species